rnacentral:rRNA from 1 species
GACGAACGCUGGCGGCGUGCUUAACACAUGCAAGUCGGACGAUGAAGCCGGAGCUUGCUCCGGUGGAUUAGUGGCGAACGGGUGAGUAACACGUGAGCAAUCUGCCCUUGACUCUGGGAUAACUGCGGGAAACUGUAGCUAAUACCGGAUACGACACCUUGGGGCAUCCCAGGGUGUGGAAAGAAUUUCGGUCAAGGAUGAGCUCGCGGCCUAUCAGCUAGUUGGUGAGGUAAUGGCUCACCAAGGCGACGACGGGUAGCCGGCCUGAGAGGGUGACCGGCCACAAUGGAACUGAGACACGGUCCAGACUCCUACGGGAGGCAGCAGUGGGGAAUAUUGCACAAUGGGCGAAAGCCUGAUGCAGCAACGCCGCGUGAGGGAUGAAGGCCUUCGAGUUGUAAACCUCUUUUAGCAGGAAAGAAGCGAAAGUGACGGUACCUGCAGAAAAAGCACCGGCUAACUACGUGCCAGCCGCCGCAGUAA